AGUGAACGCUGGCGGUAGGCCUAACACAUGCAAGUCGAACGGCAGCACAGUAAGAGCUUGCUCUUACGGGUGGCGAGUGGCGGACGGGUGAGGAAUACAUCGGAAUCUACUUUUUCGUGGGGGAUGACGUAGGGAAACUUACGCUAAUACCGCAUACGACCUACGGGUGAAAGCAGGGGAUCUUCGGACCUUGCGCGAUUGAAUGAGCCGAUGCCGGAUUAGCUAGUUGGCGGGGUAAAGGCCCACCAAGGCGACGAUCCGUAGCUGGUCUGAGAGGAUGAUCAGCCACACUGGAACUGAGACACGGUCCAGACUCCUACGGGAGGCAGCAGUGGGGAAUAUUGGACAAUGGGCGCAAGCCUGAUCCAGCCAUACCGCGUGGGUGAAGAAGGCCUUCGGGUUGUAAAGCCCUUUUGUUGGGAAAGAAAAGCAGCAGGUUAAUACCCCGCUGUUCUGACGGUACCCAAAGAAUAAGCACCGGCUAACUUCGUG
rnacentral:rRNA from 1 species